UCGGGAAUUUUGGGCAAUGGGCGAAAGCCUGACCCAGCAACGCCGCGUGAGGGAUGAAGUAUUUCGGUAUGUAAACCUCGAAAGAAUGGGAAGAAUAAAUGACGGUACCAUUUAUAAGCUCCGGCUAACUACGUGCCAGCAGCCGCGGUAAUACGUAGGGAGCAAGCGUUGUUCGGAUUUACUGGGCGUAAAGGGCGCGUAGGCGGCGCGGUAAGUCACUUGUGAAAUCUCAGAGCUUAACUCAGAACGGCCAAGUGAUACUGCAGUGCUAGAGUGCAGAAAGGGCAAUCGGAAUUCUUGGUGUAGCGGUGAAAUGCGUAGAUAUCAAGAGGAACACCUGAGGCGAAGGCGGGUUGCUAAGCUGACACUGACGCUGAGGCGCGAAAGCCAGGGGAGCAAACG
rnacentral:rRNA from 1 species